rnacentral:rRNA from 1 species
AGAGUUUGAUCAUGGCUCAGAGUGAACGCUGGCGGUAGGCCUAACACAUGCAAGUCGAACGGNAGCACAGAGGAGCUUGCUCCUUGGGUGGCGAGUGGCGGACGGGUGAGGAAUACAUCGGAAUCUACUUUUUCGUGGGGGAUAACGUAGGGAAACUUACGCUAAUACCGCAUACGACCUACGGGUGAAAGCAGGGGACCUUCGGGCCUUGCGCGAUUGAAUGAGCCGAUGUCGGAUUAGCUAGUUGGCGGGGUAAAGGCCCACCAAGGCGACGAUCCGUAGCUGGUCUGAGAGGAUGAUCAGCCACACUGGAACUGAGACACGGUCCAGACUCCUACGGGAGGCAGCAGUGGGGAAUAUUGGACAAUGGGCGCAAGCCUGAUCCAGCCAUACCGCGUGGGUGAAGAAGGCCUUCGGGUUGUAAAGCCCUUUUGUUGGGAAAGAAAUCCAGCCGGCUAAUACCUGGUUGGGAUGACGGUACCCAAAGAAUAAGCACCGGCUAACUUCGUGCCAGCAGCCGCGGUA